rnacentral:rRNA from 1 species
UACGUAGGGUGCAAGCGUUGUCCGGAAUUAUUGGGCGUAAAGAGCUCGUAGGCGGUUUGUUGCGUCGGCUGUGAAAUCCCGAGGCUCAACCUCGGGUCUGCAGUCGAUACGAGCAAACUAGAGUGUUGCAGGGGAGACUGGAAUUCCUGGUGAUAGCGGUGAAAUGCGCAGAUAUCAGGAGGAACACCGGUGGCGAAGGCGGGUCUCUGGGCAACAACUGACGCU